UAUUAAAAAUUUCAUCUGUAUUUUACUAUUAAAACUUGACCUGGCUGGUAAAAAUAACCAAAUAGUUUCACAUGGUAUGCCACGUGUUCCUCAUUUUGAUGUAUAACGACUAAUUUUUAACAAUAGAAAUUGAUGAAAUUUUUAAUA
rfam:Gossypium hirsutum cultivar TM-1 chromosome 14, whole genome shotgun sequence